AAUGCCUAGGAAUCUGCCUGGUAGUGGGGGAUAACGUUCGGAAACGGACGCUAAUACCGCAUACGUCCAACGGGAGAAAGCAGGGGACCUUCGGGCCUUGCGCUAUCAGAUGAGCCUAGGUCGGAUUAGCUAGUUGGUGAGGUAAUGGCUCACCAAGGCGACGAUCCGUAACUGGUCUGAGAGGAUGAUCAGUCACACUGGAACUGAGACACGGUCCAGACUCCUACGGGAGGCAGCAGUGGGGAAUAUUGGACAAUGGGCGAAAGCCUGAUCCAGCCAUGCCGCGUGUGUGAAGAAGGUCUUCGGAUUGUAAAGCACUUUAAGUUGGGAGGAAGGGUUGUAGAUUAAUACUCUGCAAUUUUGACGUUACCGACAGAAUAAGCACCGGCUAACUCUGUGCCAGCAGCCGCGGUAAUACAGAGGGUGCAAGCGUUAAUCGGAAUUACUGGGCGUAAAGCGCGCGUAGGUGGUUUGUUAAGUUGGAUGUGAAAUCCCCGGGCUCAACCUGGGAACUGCAUUCAAAACUGACUGACUAGAGUAUGGUAGAGGGUGGUGGAAUUCCCUGUGUAGCGGUGAAAUGCGUAGAUAUAGGAAGG
rnacentral:rRNA from 1 species